rnacentral:rRNA from 1 species
AAACCGUUCAGGGGUAAACCUGAGAAACCCAAAAGAUCGAAUGGGGAGAUUCAUCGUCAACGGCCGCUGGCUCCCGUUGGUUCGCGAUGCCCCGCAACGGACCCUCGCGGUUCGUGUAGCGUGCGGGCACGCAACCUUCGGCGAUUGUUUCGGCGUCGUAGUCGUGCACUUCUCCCCUAGUAGAACGUCGCGACCCGUUGUGUGUCGGUCUACGGCCCGAGCGGUAGCCUGUCGCUUCGCCUCGUGCGUUCGCGACAGACCCUCGGUCGCCCGGCCGGCUGCACGACGGUACUCGCACGGUAUCGGGCCGCAACCAAUCCAUUCUCGAAUGUGUGUGCGUCAGGCCCGCCGCAAGCUCGGUCAGUUUACCCGGAGGCACGGACCUGGUGCCGUCCCCGGGCCUGGCCAGCUGUUGGCAGGCGGUGUCCUCGGACUGGCCAAGCUUCGAAUUACCGGUCGGCGACGCUAUUGCUUUGGGUACUCUCAGGACCCGUCUUGAAACACGGACCAAGGAGUCUAACAUGUGCGCGAGUCAUUGGGACAAUUAAACCUAAAGGCGCAAUGAAAGUGAAGGUCGUCCUUCGACCGGUUGACCGAGGGAGGAUGGGCCGCGUAACUAUGCGGCCUCGCACUCCCGGGGCGUCUCGU